UUCGGCAGGCUCUUUUAGGAGGUUCAUGCCGAGGAAGAUUAAGAGGAUUGAGAAGGAAAAAUCAACAAGUAAUUCCAUUUGUUGCAUUCCAAAUGGGUAACGUAAACACGUGUGUCGCCAGACGAGGAACGAAUCCAAUGUUUCACGCCAAACGUUGAUAAUGAUUAAAACACCUUCUACGAUUAAAGAGCAAGAUAAAGUGAGUAGGAUAGUAGCAUCCCCCGAGAGUAAUACCCCUACGGCGACCAAAAAGAAUAGGAUUGAGCUUGUCAAUUUUAGUUUUUGAGGAAAAGUAAGGAUUGCGAAUGUUUCUUUAAAAGUAGGAAUGGGAUAACUGGCAGGUAUCUCUAACGGCUGUCGAUUCUUGGGUGGUAAGAAAUAUUGAUGCGAAAGCGAAUGUUUGUGAUGAUGGCCUUUUCUGUGGGUAGGGCGAGUAUCCACGCUUAACAAGUUGGGAUUAUUCGCACUCGGUUUUGGUAACUGAUCACUAAUAGUUACAGAGACAUUAUUAUUUAUAGGGUUUUGAAUCUGAAUAGCAGUCGGGAUGUUAUGAUUUUGAGUCAUUUUUCAUUCAUUUAGAUAUACUUUCAACAAUUCUAUAAUGGCUUUUUUAAAAACUCACUCACCCAUGCGUUUGGUGGAGUGGAUGGGUAAGACCAGUUGGUACUAGGCCCAAAUUGCAACAGUCUAAGAUAAAGAUAUUGACUGUAUCAGUAAAUGAUUAUAAAAAGCCAUAGUGUUGUACCAUCUUUGAGACAUCUACUUUUUAGUGACUAGGAAUAAAAAACGCUUAGUAGAAAACGGUUAAAGAUGAACAAACUUACCUUUCAGAGCCAUCGUGGAACGCCAUAUAUAUAGGGUUCAAACAUGCGGCUCAAAGUCAUCCAUACAAGGAUAUUAUGAGUAAUUUUUUUAAUUCGUUUAAUUAAAAAUAAAAUCAUCAUUAAGUUAUAAAAAAAAGGCCACUCCAAGGGCCUGAAUUCUCCUUCUACGACUUUUCCACAUGUACUCGAUAAGACAAUAAAUACACUUGGUAAAAU